UAUUAAGAAUAUAUUUUAAUUUUUUUGAAAAUAUUUUUCAACAUUAUAAAAUGCUGUGUUUGAAGACUUCAUGAUCUCAUCUUGAGACUUGAGUCAACUUAUUAUAAUAGGUAUAGUUUAUUACAACAAUGGUGGUCAGUUUCUCCAUGCUUGAAGAAGUGAACAAUUACCAUCACUCUGAAACAACUCAUCAAUGGCGAAGAAGCUUUCACAACAAUAAUGGCGGUGAUGACGACGAUGACGACGACGACAAUGGGGUUGAUAUAGCACCAGCAGCAUAGUUUCUUUUUGGAAACCAUACACAUCAAAGAUUAUUAUUGAUCAGUAAGAUUAUAGAGAGAGUAGUGCAUUCUGAAUGNNNN
rnacentral:lncRNA from 1 species